AUUUAGCGAAUCCAUGCUUGGAGCGUGGACGCGUGAUUAGAAUAUAGUUACGUAUAUAAGGAGACUUGUUUCUGUAAUAAAUGGCUUUAGCGUGAUUCACAUUGAAUCGACUUGUUUUGCUGAGUCCUUAUUUCGCUCCAACAAAUGGUGACCCUGACGUGAUACUCUGAAUGGCGUACCUCUGAGGUCGGGGAAAAGCCUGGAGCGGCCCAGCCAGAGGCAGAUCAGCUGGACUGAGAACCGGGCGGAGGCGUACGGACGUUCCGCAUUUUGUUGAAGAAGUCACCGUAAAAGCAAGACACCACCUGGAGUCCUGCAACCAGCUCUGGAGUCCUCAAGUACAGGAAAGACAUGGAGAGGGGCAGAGAAGAGCCACAAAAAUGAUCAGAGGGAUGGAACACCCUCCCUAAUGAAGAAAAGCUCCAAGAGUUGGGAGUUUUCAGCCUGCAGAAGAGAAGUGUCUGGGGAGAUCUUAUUGCGGCCUUUCAGUACUUACAGGGAGCUUAUAAGAAAGAUGGAGAGAGACUUUUUACAAGGGCCUAUAGUGACAGGACAAGGGGCAAUGCUUUUAAACUAAAAGAAGGUAGCUUUAGAUUGGAUAUAAGGAAGAAAUUCUUUACAAUGAGGGUGGUGAGAUACUGGAACAUGUUGCCCAGAGAAGCUGUGGAUGCCCCAGCCCUGGCAGUAUCCGGUGCUGGACUGGACAGGGCUUUGAGCAAUCUGAUCUAGUGAAAGAUGUCCCUGCCCACAGCAGGGGGUUGGAAUAGAUGUUCCCUUCCAACCCAAACCCUUCUGUGAUUCUGUCAAGAGCUUGUAAGAACCUACCUUUAGAAAGCUGAAGAAGUCAGCUGGUUGAUCAAACCACAAGAUAUAUUCUACAUUCCAGGACCAAUGACAGGAAUUGGAAAUUACCUCAUCCCUGGUACAAUGCAGUAAAUGUCCUCAUUGACUUCAUAGGGUUAACUCCUAUUUUGAGAGGAAAACAUAGACUACGCCUGUAUAAUCACACAAAAAGACAGAGAAAUCUGAACAAAAGGCUCACAUUGUAAACAAAACAUGAUAGAUUGCUACCUAACCAUCAUCCCACAGAUUUCUCUCUCCUUUCUCAACCUUUUUAAACACCAACAAGCCACCAUGUACUGCAACUCUCCAGAAUCCAAAUGGCUCAGUCUUUAAUCAAGAUCAUCCAUUUUUUAAAGUCUGCUUCAGCAUCAACCUCGCCAGAUUACUGAAGUACAGAGAGACCCUGAAUUCCGCUGUCAGCACCAGGGAACAUGGUCUGAGCCACCCAGUAAGGGGCUGGAAGCAGAGCGGGACAAGGAGAAAAGGAUAAAGAAAGAGACUUUCAGACCUAGGAGAAGAGAGGAGAAAGUGCAAGUCAACCAGAUCUAACACUAUUCCAUCCUACAGACAAGAGUUCUUCUCCAGCCCACUGGGACAUGCCUUCCUCAGUAACCCUUUCUAAUUUUAGGGUGCCCCUGCAUUCAACAGGAUGCAACCUCAUUUACUACAGAAGUGACUUUCUGUACUUCCGACAUUCAUCUUCAGUCCAAUGACUUUCUGACUAUCCACAACAAGCCUGUCAUUCCCAUCACCUGGAAAAGAAGCACAGCACAUGUUCAGAUGAAAACUCCCUUCUCUGAAAACCUUCCCCAUCCCUUCAUACUGUUCUAGUUCCAGGAAAGAUACAGGGAGAUUAGACAGCAAGAAGCAAAGCAGCAGAGAAAAGCAACUGGGGGCAUUUAAAAAAUAAGUUGAAAGGUUACAGCUAGUUACUAUGCCUGGAAGAGGAAUCAACAGUGGGAAGGGAUGGAGGGAUGAUGCAAAACAAGACAACAUUUGACUACAUCUGGCUACUCAACAAGUUUAAUCCAAAAGGUUCUCAGAGCACAACACUACUACUAGCUCUUCAAAACCCCUGCUACACUCCCUCCAAAACGUCCAGUCUCUUCCUCGCUUAGUCCCUUUGUCUCCACUGUCCAUGGGAAAAACUUCACAACUGGUCUUUCUGGUUCCCUUAUCCCAUUAUAACCACCUCUCUAUGCCCACCAGGCACCUGUCCCAUCUCCAGACUCCUCAUCGAAGGACAAUGCACCAUCACUCAAACCAAACUGCUAGACUCCUCCCCUGCCUGUUUCAUUCCCUAUGCCUUUGCUACAUCUUUGCCAUCAGACCCUUUGUCCAACAUCAACCUGAAGAUGAAAAGUAGUUAAGGUAGGAAAAGUUGCUGAACCUUACCAUUGUGGGUGUUCCCAGCAGACAAAGCUCUGUCUAAAACUCACCAGCCCAAAUUCUGUCUAACAGCUUCUGUGCUGCCGCUGCUAUUCUUGGUGAGCCUGCUGUAGCAGGGAGAAUCACAGCUAUCAGGUUUGCUAGCUCAUCUACGCAAGAUUUAACAGAGCUCAAAGGUGCUGCGUGCCUCACCUAGGAAAUACAGCCCUGUGGUUACAAGACACACACAGCAGAAUACCCUCAGAUCCUUCCCAGAUACCUUAAUUUGAGGGAAAUCAGAUUGUCACAUGAAAAUCAAUUUGAUCUAAACUUACAGCUGCAACUUUUCAAGUACUUCAGUUUGAUCCUGGUGAAGUUAGGGGACAGUGUGCAUUUUUGUCAGUAACUAGUAUGUCCUGCAUGGUACGUAUGAGGCAGACUGAAAUCUUUUCAGAUGCUAAUCACUUCAGCAAAGAUAGCAAGAUAACAGAGGAGGAAAAGAGUGAGCAAGAUCUAGCUCAGCAGCUGGAUGAAAAGCUCUCUUAGCCAGAGGAAAGCAGUUACAGGAAUGAGGCAGUUCAGAGGAGAGACUGCAAAACAAUUUGCAGAGAGAAAAAACAAUGGCAAUAAUGCUCCACUGCUCUGAGUGACCUUUUUCUAGGGAUUAUCUGCAGAUUCAAAUUUUGAAGGAUCUACUGCUGCUGUUUUAUUGAUGCACGCAGGUUAAUUCCAAUGCUGCUGCUUCCUCUGCAUGACAGUAUGUGUUACAGUAGCCUAGAAGCUCCUGGAUUACAGCUGAAGUUUUUGAUGUCUCUAGCUUUGCAUGCUGAAUAUACCCUUACACCUACAUCCAU